rnacentral:rRNA from 1 species
GACAGUGUCUGGUGGGUAGUUUGACUGGGGCGGUCUCCUCCUAAAGAGUAACGGAGGAGCACGAAGGUUGGCUAAUCCUGGUCGGACAUCAGGAGGUUAGUGCAAUGGCAUAAGCCAGCUUGACUGCGAGCGUGACGGCGCGAGCAGGUGCGAAAGCAGGUCAUAGUGAUCCGGUGGUUCUGAAUGGAAGGGCCAUCGCUCAACGGAUAAAAGGUACUCCGGGGAUAACAGGCUGAUACCGCCCAAGAGUUCAUAUCGACGGCGGUGUUUGGCACCUCGAUGUCGGCUCAUCACAUCCUGGGGCUGAAGUAGGUCCCAAGGGUAUGGCUGUUCGCCAUUUAAAGUGGUACGCGAGCUGGGUUUAGAACGUCGUGAGACAGUUCGGUCCCUAUCUGCCGUGGGCGCUGGAGAACUGAGGGGGGCUGCUCCUAGUACGAGAGGACCGGAGUGGACGCAUCACUGGUGUUCGGGUUGUCAUGCCAAUGGCACUGCCCGGUAGCUAAAUGCGGAAGAGAUAAGUGCUGAAAGCAUCUAAGCACGAAACUUGCCCCGAGAUGAGUUCUCCCUGAC